rnacentral:lncRNA from 1 species
AUUACCCGCCUGAGACUCCAAAGAGGUGUUUGCCAAAAAAGGCAGAUUCUUGGGCCACACCCGGCUCUAUGGAGUGGGAAGCGCUGAGGGUGGGGCCUGGGCGCCUGCUCUCAGAACUGGUGCCGCUGAAAGCUUGCAGAGCCCAAACGCUGCGAGGAGGUCGCACCAGCAAGUGAGGAAGCAGAAGGGAUGGCUUCCUGCGCCUCCCACACAAUUUUCAACUUUUCAGGAAGUACCAUAGGAGAAGUCAAGGCUUGGAAAUUGUGGUGAAAGAAGCUACGAAUGAGAUAAAUGUGUGUUCUUUCCACCCCUAAAAACAGUGUCACCACCACUCAUCCUUGAAACCAUCAGCAGCAGGGAAACCUGUGAGCGACGUUCACGUCUAGUGUCCAGUGCCUUGCGUGGUCCCAAUCACAAACCCCUAGCUCAGGGGCAGCGGGGCCAUGAACUAGGGAGGCCGCCGUAAUGACAGCCUGGCAGGAACCCUAUGUCCAAACCAGAGGAGCCCCCUCAGAGCAACCUCCACAGGCAGUGCUGCUGUCAAGGAAAUGCCAGAGCCGGGUGGUAGUUAACAUGGUAAGAGGAGACUUCAUUCAGGACCAUUGCAGUAGGGGAAACAGGUCCUCAGUAUAGAAGUGGGCUCAAUUCAGAAUACAGCAUAAGCAACUGGGACUCUACAGGCAAAGAGCAAGGUGAGGCUGGGUGGGUGGAAAAUUACAUCAGGGGUAAGGGGUCCUAGUUCAACCAACUCUGAGAAUAUAGAAAUAAACUCAGUUUCUCCCAUUAUAGCCUCAUAACACACUUCUGACACCAGCUGUGGGGAGGAUUUUCCCCACACCUCGAGCGAACAAUCAAUUCUGCAGUGGACCUCCACUUGGUCCUCCAACUGGGUAUUCUCCAAUUCAAUUCUGACAUUAUCCACCUGAGUGUCAGAUCCUGCAGGGUGAGGGAUCAGUCUCCAUGACUGCCCCCCGACUUUCAAAGCCAAUUGGAAGCCCCAAGUUCUUUAACCUGUCCUUCAAUGAACAGCUCUAAAUUAAGCUAUAAACUGAGGUUCCCAUGGCUCCAUCUUCAGGUUCCACUAAUUUGCUGGAGCAGCUCACAGAACUCAGGGAAACAUUAUAUUUACAUUUAUGGGUUUAUGACUGUCAGGUCUCUGAGCCCAAGCUAAGCCAUCAUAACCCCUGUGACCUGCACGUAUACAUCCAGAUGGCCUGAAACAACUAAAGAACCACAAAAGAAGUGAAAUAGCCAGUUCCUGCCUUAACUGAUGACAUUCCACCAUUAUGAUUUGUUCCUGUCCCACUCUAACUGAUCAAUUGACCUUGUGACAUUCCUUCUCCUGGACAGUGAGUCUCAGGGGCUCCCCACCAAGCACCUUGUGACCCCUGCCCCUGCCUGCAAGAGAAAAUCCCCUUUAACUGCAAUUUUCCACUACCUACCCAAAUCCUAUAAACCUGCCCCACCCCUAUCUCCCUUUGCUGACUCUCUUUUUGGACUCAGCCCACUUGCACCCAAGUGAAAAUAAACAGCCUUGUUGCUCACACA